CCUUAAAUAAACGGCCCUUUUCAGGGCCACCAAUUUAUUUUGAAAAAAGAAUUUGCUUAGUGCUACAUUUCGUACAUUUCAAUUAGGUUUUGGCAAUGAUUACUUGCGCAAAUUUUCUGAUUUAUCGCAAGGUGGCACUCUUGAAUUGUUUUGAUUCAACUUAAUUCGUCUGCUGGUAUUUCGUUUGUCCAACUGUGAGAGAAAAACAUUUCUUAUGAUAUUUCGAUGAAAUGGAUGUAUUUUACAUGUUAUUUUCGUAUAAAUUCAUUUUUUUCUUUUCUGCAAUUCUGUUCUUUUUAACUCUUCUCUUUUUUUCUGAUCCACCUUGUUCAAAUUCAUGCAACCUUGCCCACUCCCCCUCAACUCCAGUCCAAAAUAUUCAAAAUGGUCGCCGCCUGGAUUGCUGGUGGAAGCGAUUCUCAUGAUAAUUCUUAUCUCAGUGAUUUGAAAUUGGAUGGCUGUAAAGUGUAAAGAAGAGUUUACUUCAUAUGAGAUAUUUUUGGUCUUUAUUCUUAAGGUAAUAUCUUCAACUUAAGGUUUCGUGUGUCAUGGGUGCUUGUGACAAUAAAGAUGAAAUUGUCCAAUUCAAGCUGUGUCUUACAAAACUAAGGAAAUUCUAUUUGCAAGGUAGAAAACCUUUCUGACAAAACAUGGUUUUCCAGUUGUUGCUGGAUGGAUUGUUUUCGGGUUAGUUCCCAUGUCUAAAGACAAAUCCUAGCCCACAACUCACCAAGAGGAUCCUUUCGACAUAUUUAUGUCGAUCCUUUGUAUGCAGAGAGUUCAACCUACAGACGGGACGGCCAGUUUGCAUGUCCUUCACGCUUGAAGGGAACAUAUCGUGUAAAACUGUCUAUGCGGUGUUGUAGAGGUUGGGUGAGAAUGAAACGUGUUGCAUCAUUAUCAAGCAGACCCAUCCCCAACAACGUCAACCUGCAGUUAAGGAAAGGCCAGUUUGUAUGUCGUUCACUUUCAAAGGUCACGGAGAUCAUUACGUAAAACUGUCAAUGCGGUGGUGUAGAGGUUGGGUGAGAACGGGAAGUGUUUGCUUCAUUUUCAAGCAGGUAAAAUAGCCGCAAGGCUUAAGAGAGGGGUCAGGGUGAGAAAAAGUAGUAUAAAAGGAGAGAGAAAAGGCCAAAAAAAUCAGUAGUACGUACUGUCAGUCAUUCCAACAAGUUGACUUAGCGCUCAGUCAAUUUCCAUCCAAUAGACCCAUAAUGCUGUCAAAACCUAAAACUCAUGUUUCAUGCUCACAUAUAGUGGAAUACAAAUCUGCCGAGUUAAGGACUUUUCUGAAUCUCGCAAUUUUGGUGGUGUAACCUGCAACAUAAAGUUUGCUGUGAUGGCUGUUUCUACUUCUGUAGCAUCCCAGCUGAGAGAUAGAGUUUCAGUGACAUGAAGAGUGUGAAGUGAAACACCUAUCACCAUGCUACUGGAACACAUUAUGAUACUUUCUUUAGCAUCAGGAAAUUUAUCUAUACAUGAGGAAUAAGACUGUAUGUUCCUGUGAUUUCCAUUUUUACUUUUUUUUCAUCAUGAAAAUUGAAGUGUGCUUCUUAGAAAAGAGCACACAGUUUCUUUAUGGAAUCGUGUGGUCCUGGCACGGAGAUUCUUGUGCCAAUGCUGACCUUUGUCCAUGACGGAAGAGGGACUUCCAUCAACGUUCUUCUCCAUCCUUAUCUUCGCGACUCACGCUCAUCUAACUUCACUGCUUCUAAACACAAUUUGUUUUACUUCACUGGCGAGUUUCUGGACCAUUUCAGUGAUCGCUUCCGUCCGCUGUUACGCACCUGUAGUCACUCACCAAGGGAUUAUGCCCAGGUACCCAACAAUUGACUGAUUUCCGUAGGUUAUCUACUAAUAGUCUAGUUGCGUUAGACUCUGUCUGUGUAAUAGUUUUCAAAAUCAGACCCUUCUUACGCGCCAACGAAGUUUUACUUGGACGUUUCUUUUUUCUAACGCUAGAUGGCUUUUUGAUCAUUUGCAGCUGUCAUAACAGUCAUUUUCAGUUACUUUGCACGUCUAUUUAAACAUUUAUUGGCAGUUAUUUUGUU